rnacentral:rRNA from 1 species
AUUGAACGCUGGCGGAAUGCUUUACACAUGCAAGUCGAACGGUAGAGGGGCAACCCUUGAGAGUGGCGAACGGGUGAGUAAUGUAUCGGAACAUGCCAAGUCGUGGGGGAUAACGUAGCGAAAGUUACGCUAACACCGCAUACGAUCUACGGCUGAAAGCGGGGGAUCGCAAGACCUCGCGCGAUUGGAGUGGCCGAUAUCAGAUUAGGUAGUUGGUGGUGUAAAGGCCUACCAAGCCGACGAUCUGUAGCUGGUCUGAGAGGACGACCAGCCACACUGGGAAUGAGACACGGCCCAGACUCCUACGGGAGGCAGCAGUGGGGAAUUUUGGACAAUGGGCGAAAGCCUGAUCCAGCCAUUCCGCGUGCAGGAAGAAGGCCUUCGGGUUGUAAACUGCUUUUGUACGGAACGAAACGCGCUGUGCUAAUACCACGGCGUAAUGACGGUACCGUAAGAAUAAGCACCGGCUAACUACGUGCCAGCAGCCGCCGUAAAAC